GGCAACGUGCCCGAGUGGUUAUGGGGGUGGCCUGCUAAGCCAUUGGGCUAUGCCCGCGCAGGUUCGAUCCCUGCCGUUGUCG